CUGCACCUGCUGGACAAUAUAACAUAUCUGCUGCCCAACAUGUACCCUCAGGCAUCCAGCAGCAACACAGCAGAGGAAGAAUUCUUGACAAAUGAAGAGUGUGUCCAACAUCUGCCACUCACAGAACUCAAAUCAAAGUCGCCAAUUACUGGACGACUUGCUCAAAUAAAGAAAAGAUUGAGAGGCUUUUGGAGAAAGAUUUGCUCCUGCACAAACAG